GCGGGGGGUUUUUAAGUUGAUGUGAAAGCUUCGGCUUAACCGGAGAACCAUCGGAAAUGGGAACUUGAGUGCAGAAGAGGACAGUGGAAUCCAUGUGUAGCGGUGGAAUGCGUAGAUAUAUGGAAGAACACCAGUGGGAAGGCGGCUGUUAGUCUGUAACUGACGUGAGGCUCGAAAGCAUGGGUAGCAAACAGGAUUAGAUACCCUGGUAGUUCAUGCCGUAAACGAUGAGUGUAGGUGUUGGAGGGUUUCCGCCCUUCAGUGCCGCAGCUAACGCAUUAAGCACUCGCCUGGGGAGUACGACCGCAAGGUUGAAACUCAAAGGAAUUGACGGGGGCCCGCACAAGCGGUGGAGCAUGUGGUUUAAUUGAAGCUACGCGAAGAACCUUACCAGGUCUUGACAUACUAUGCAAAUCCUAGAGAUAGGACGUUCCCUUCGGGGACAUGGAUACAGGUGGUGCAUGGUUGUCGUCAGCUCGUGUCGUGAGAUGUUGGGUUAAGUCCCGCAACGAGCGCAACCCUUAUUAUCAGUUGCCAGCAUUAAGUUGGGCACUCUGGUGAGACUGCCGGUGACAAACCGGAGGAAGGUGGGGAUGACGUCAAAUCAUCAUGCCCCUUAUGACCUGGGCUACACACGUGCUACAAUGGACGGUACAACGAGUGCGAAGUCGUGAGGCUAAGCUAAUCUCUUAAAGCCGUUCUCAGUUCGGAUUGUAGGCUGCAACUCGCCUACAUGAAGUUGGAAUCGCUAGUAAUCGCGGAUCAGCAUGCCGCGGUGAAUACGUUCCCGGGCCUUGUACACACCGCCCGUCACACCAUGAGAGUUUGUAACACCCAAAGCCGGUGAGAUAACCUUCGGGAGUCAGCCGUCUAAGGUGGGACAGAUGAUUAGGGUGAAGUC
rnacentral:rRNA from 2 species